rnacentral:rRNA from 1 species
UACGAAGGGGGCUAGCGUUGCUCGGAAUUACUGGGCGUAAAGGGCGCGUAGGCGGGUUGUCAAGUUGGAGGUGAAAGCCCAGGGCUCAACCUUGGAAUUGCCUUCAAAACUGACAACCUGGAGUAUGGAAGAGGUAAGUGGAACUCCGAGUGUAGAGGUGAAAUUCGUAGAUAUUCGGAAGAACACCAGUGGCGAAGGCGACUUACUGGUCCAUGACUGACGCUGAGGAGCGAAAGCGUGGGGAGCAAACAGG